UGAACCAGAAAGUCAUGGGUUCGAUUCCCAGUUAGGGCACAUGCCCAGGUUGUGGCUCAAGCCCCUGUGUGGGGCAUGCAGGAGGCAGCCAAUCAAUGAUUCUCUCUCAUCACUGAUGUUUCUAUUUUUCUCUCCCUCUCCUUUCCUCUCUGAAAUCAAUAAAAACAAAUUAAAA